AUUGAACGCUGGCGGCAGGCCUAACACAUGCAAGUCGAACGAGUGGCGGACGGGUGAGUAAUGUCUGGGAAACUGCCUGAUGGAGGGGGAUAACUACUGGAAACGGUAGCUAAUACCGCAUACCAUCGGAUGUGCCAAGAUGGGAUUAGCUAGUAGGUGGGGUAACGGCUCACCUAGGCGACGAUCCCUAGCUGGUCUGAGAGGGUGACCAGCGACACUGGAACUGAGACACGGUCCAGACUACUACGUGAGGCAGCAGUGGGGAAUAUUGCACAAGGGGCGCAAGCCUGAUGCAGCCAUGCCGCGUGUAUGAAGAAGGCCUUCGGGUUGUAAAGUACUUUCAGCGGGGAGGCGUUACCCGCAGAAGAAGCACCGGCUAACUCCGUGCCAGCCGCCGCGGUAAUAC
rnacentral:rRNA from 1 species